UACAGAGGGUGCAAGCGUUGUUCGGAAUUACUGGGCGUAAAGCGCGUGUAGGUGGCGAUGUAAGUCGGGUGUGAAAUCCCUCGGCUCAACCGAGGAAGUGCACUCGAUACUGUGUCGCUUGAGUGUUGGAGGGGAUGGCGGAAUUCCCGGUGUAGAGGUGAAAUGCGUAGAUAUCUGGAGGAAUACCGGUGGCGAAGGCGGCUUCCUGGACACUAACUGACGCUGAGACGCGAAAGCGUGGGGAGCAAACAGG
rnacentral:rRNA from 1 species